CCCUUGUUGGCAUAUCAGGUGCCAUUGGACACAGUCCAGGGAAAGCAUCUAUCUAUAGUGAUAAUGAUCCAUCGCCUUGACUUGAGUCUCCACCACAUCUAUUUCCUGCCCGCUUGUAGCGGUUGGUUAGGCUAGGCCGGUUAGAACCUCUCCGCAGUUCUCGAUUCUGAUUGAACUAGGGAGGAUCGGUUAAUGAAUUGAUAAUGAGAUGGACUAAGCAAUCUAAAGUGAAUAUUCAUUGAGAUGAAGUAUGAUAUUAAGUGAAG
rnacentral:lncRNA from 1 species